rnacentral:rRNA from 1 species
AGAUACCCUGGUAGUCCACGCCGUAAACGAUGUCGAUUUGGAGGUUGUGCCCUUGAGGCGUGGCUUCCGGAGCUAACGCGUUAAAUCGACCGCCUGGGGAGUACGGCCGCAAGGUUAAAACUCAAAUGAAUUGACGGGGGCCCGCACAAGCGGUGGAGCAUGUGGUUUAAUUCGAUGCAACGCGAAGAACCUUACCUGGUCUUGACAUCCACAGAACUUUCCAGAGAUGGAUUGGUGCCUUCGGGAACUGUGAGACAGGUGCUGCAUGGCUGUCGUCAGCUCGUGUUGUGAAAUGUUGGGUUAAGUCCCGCAACGAGCGCAACCCUUAUCCUUUGUUGCCAGCGGUUAGGCCGGGAACUCAAAGGAGACUGCCAGUGAUAAACUGGAGGAAGGUGGGGAUGACGUCAAGUCAUCAUGGCCCUUACGACCAGGGCUACACACGUGCUACAAUGGCGCAUACAAAGAGAAGCGACCUCGCGAGAGCAAGCGGACCUCAUAAAGUGCGUCGUAGUCCGGAUUGGAGUCUGCAACUCGACUCCAUGAAGUCGGAAUCGCUAGUAAUCGUAGAUCAGAAUGCUACGGUGAAUACGUUCCCGGGCCUUGUACACACCGCCCGUCACACCAUGGGAGUGGGUUGCAAAAGAAGUAGGUAGCUUAACCUUCGGGAGGGCGCUUACCACUUUGUGAUUCAUGACUGGGGUGAAGUCG